CCUGCCUUGGAGUGGGGAAUAACAGCUGGAAACAGCUGCUAAUACCGCAUGAUGCAGUUGGGUCGCAUGGCUCUGACUGCCAAAGAUUUAUCGCUCUGAGAUGGACUCGCGUCUGAUUAGCUAGUUGGCGGGGCAACGGCCCACCAAGGCGACGAUCAGUAGCCGGACUGAGAGGUUGGCCGGCCACAUUGGGACUGAGACACGGCCCAGACUCCUACGGGAGGCAGCAG
rnacentral:rRNA from 1 species